AAGUUAAAAUGUCAUCUAUUUGUACUAUUAAAAACUGGGUGAUUGAUAGAAUGACCAAAUAGUGAAAUGUGACAUGUCACGUGUAUCUUGUGUUGAUGUAAAAUGACGAGUUUUUAACUGUAAAAUUGGAUGGAAUUUUUAGUA
rfam:Gossypium hirsutum cultivar TM-1 unplaced genomic scaffold scaffold2114.1, whole genome shotgun sequence